GGUGGGGUUCCCGAGCGGCCAAAGGGAGCAGACUGUAAAUCUGCCGUCAUCGACUUCGAAGGUUCGAAUCCUUCCCCCACCACCG
rnacentral:tRNA from 3 species